CGACCGAGAUCGAGAGAGGUUUUCCUCGAUUUUGAUGUUAUUUCUUUUCUUUUUUUUUUUCGAUUUGUCGUCAACGCUUCAUUCUCUCUCGGUCUCCGUCAUUCUAUCAUUUUUCUCUCACUCUCAUCUUUCUACUUCUCGUCUAUUGUUUUUGUAUUUAUUAUACGCCUUUUUCUGUCUUGCGAACCGUAAUUUUUUCGCGGUUGUAUUUCUGUCGGUCCGUAUUUUUCGCCCUCUGCGCACUGUGUACACACGUACACAAUCAUAUAUAAUAUCCGUAUACAACAUCGCGAUACGUUAUAUUGUUAUCCGUUUUAUUUCUUCUCGUAUGCUUCGCACAUAAUAAUAUACGUACACAUGUCACACGCGUGUGUAGGUUAGCGCUGAUUUUUAUUCGUUCCAUUUUAUUGGACUACGUUAUUUUUCGAUCACGCGCUUCCGUUAUUAUAUUUUUCAGCCGUACGUCAUCGGAACAAUGCGUACACACAAUAUACGAUAUACAUGUACCCUUAUAAAAUAUUUACGUAUUUGCAUACAAUGUGCAGUGACGUAUCCAGGGGGGGUUAGGGGGUUAACCCCCCACAAAAAAAAAUUCUGUAUACACCACUGAUAAUGUGUACUCGUCACAUUAUUAUAAUCGUCGUCGUUUGUUGUUUCCCGUUUUCUGCUCGUCGUAACUGCAUCGAAAAACAAAUAAUAUCCAGACAAAAUCAAACUGCAUUACCAGUUACCACUCAUACCCUUCCUCCGACCAUUCGGUUAUCAUCAGUCGAGACCCUGAUACGACAGAUGGAAUAAUAUCUAUAGACAAGCAUCGGAUGUCUCGCAGUUGAUUCCAAUAGUUCGAUGGCGGACCGUGACUUCUAAGCGGAUGGCUAUUGGGACUCACUGCUUUAAAGAAUUACUUUAUACAGAAAAGAAAUAUUUUUCUAAGAUAUCUGAGGUUUACAAGAUUUAUAGCCUCAGUGUUAGCUGUGACCUAGGACCGCCUACACGAAAAGAACACGGUGUGUGAUUGCAGUGAAGGUGUGUCAUUUGGAGAGGGGGCGGAAAUUCAUUCAUUUGCCACAGUCUAGAGCAGUGGUUCUCAAACUUUGGUACGCGUACCCCUUGGGGUUAGGUUUGAUUUGUUCUACGUUCAACAAUGUUAUAAACUUUUUAUAUGACUAUUCUCGUUUUACAAAAAUACCUAAUUAUAUUUCAUUAUUAUUAUUCUU